rnacentral:rRNA from 1 species
GUGGGGAAUAUUGCACAAUGGGCGAAAGCCUGAUGCAGCAACGCCGCGUGAGGGAUGACGGCCUUCGGGUUGUAAACCUCUUUUAGCAGGGAAGAAGCGUGAGUGACGGUACCUGCAGAAAAAGCACCGGCUAACUACGUGCCAGCAGCCGCGGUAAUACGUAGGGUGCAAGCGUUGUCCGGAAUUAUUGGGCGUAAAGAGCUCGUAGGCGGCUUGUCGCGUCUGCUGUGAAAACCCGGGGCUCAACCCCGGGCCUGCAGUGGGUACGGGCAGGCUAGAGUGCGGUAGGGGAGAUUGGAAUUCCUGGUGUAGCGGUGGAAUGCGCAGAUAUCAGGAGGAACACCGAUGGCGAAGGCAGAUCUCUGGGCCGUAACUGACGCUGAGGAGCGAAAGCAUGGGGAGCGAACAGGAUUAGAAACCCUGGUAGUCC